AGUGAACGCUGGCGGUAGGCCUAACACAUGCAAGUCGAACGGCAGCACAGUAAGAGCUUGCUCUUACGGGUGGCGAGUGGCGGACGGGUGAGGAAUACAUCGGAAUCUACUUUUUCGUGGGGGAUAACGUAGGGAAACUUACGCUAAUACCGCAUACGACCUACGGGUGAAAGCAGGGGAUCUUCUGACCUUGCGCGAUUGAAUGAGCCGAUGUCGGAUUAGCUAGUUGGCGGGGUAAAGGCCCACCAAGGCGACGAUCCGUAGCUGGUCUGAGAGGACGAUCAGCCAAACUGGAACUGAGACACGGUCCAGACUCCUACGGGAGGCAGCAGUGGGGAAUAUUGGACAAUGGGCGCAAGCCUGAUCCAGCAAUACCGCGUGGGUGAAGAAGGCCUUCGGGUUGUAAAGCCCUUUUGUUGGGAAAGAAAAGCAGCAGGUUAAUACCACGCUGUUCUGACGGUACCCAAAGAAUAAGCACCGGCUAACUUCGUG
rnacentral:rRNA from 1 species